AAGACAACUUUACGGAGUUGACGAUUGACGGAGCGAAGCGACGUCAAAGCGUUCAUUAAAGUCGAGUUGGCUUAGGGAUACGUUCGUUGGGUAGGGGAGCGUUCUGUAAGCCUGUGAAGGUGGCCUGUGAGGGUUGCUGGAGGUAUCAGAAGUGCGAAUGCUGACAUAAGUAACGAUAAAGCGGGUGAAAAGCCCGCUCGCCGGAAGACCAAGGGUUCCUGUCCAACGUUAAUCGGGGCAGGGUGAGUCGACCCCUAAGGCGAGGCCGAAAGGCGUAGUCGAUGGGAAACGGGUUAAUAUUCCCGUACUUGGUGUUACUGCGAAGGGGGGACGGAGAAGGCUAUGUUGGCCGGGCGACGGUUGUCCCGGUUUAAGCGUGUAGGCUGGUUUUCCAGGCAAAUCCGGAAAAUCAAGGCUGAGGCGUGACGACGAGGCACUACGGUGCUGAAGCAACAAAUGCCCUGCUUCCAGGAAAAGCCUCUAAGCAUCAGGUAACAUCAAAUCGUACCCCAAACCGACACAGGUGGUCGGGUAGAGAAUACCAAGGCGCUUGAGAGAACUCGGGUGAAGGAACUAGGCAAAAUGGUGCCGUAACUUCGGGAGAAGGCACGCUGACACGUAGGUGAAGUGAUUUACUCAUGGAGCUGAAGUCAGUCGAAGAUACCAGCUGGCUGCAACUGUUUAUUAAAAACACAGCACUGUGCAAACACGUAAGUGGACGUAUACGGUGUGACGCCUGCCCGGUGCCGGAAGGUUAAUUGAUGGGGUCAGCGCAAGCGAAGCUCCUGAUAGAAGCCCCGGUAAACGGCGGCCGUAACUAUAACGGUCCUAAGGUAGCGAAAUUCCUUGUCGGGUAAGUUCCGACCUGCACGAAUGGCGUAAUGAUGGCCAGGCUGUCUCCACCCGAGACUCAGUGAAAUUGAACUCGCUGUGAAGAUGCAGUGUACCCGCGGCAAGACGGAAAGACCCCGUGAACCUUUACUAUAGCUUGACACUGAACAUUGAGCCUUGAUGUGUAGGAUAGGUGGGAGGCUUUGAAGCGUGGACGCCAGUCUGCGUGGAGCCGACCUUGAAAUACCACCCUUUAAUGUUUGAUGUUCUAAC
rnacentral:rRNA from 1 species